UACGAAGGGGGCUAGCGUUGCUCGGAAUUACUGGGCGUAAAGGGCUCGUAGGCGGCCAACUAAGUCAUACGUGAAAUCCCUCAGCUUAACUGGGGAACUGCGUGUGAUACUGGAUGGCUUGGAUGUGGGAGAGGGAUGCGGAAUUCCAGGUGUAGCGGUGAAAUGCGUAGAUAUCUGGAGGAACACCGGUGGCGAAGGCGGCAUCCUGGACCAUUAUUGACGCUGAGGAGCGAAAGCCAGGGGAGCAAACGGG
rnacentral:rRNA from 1 species